rnacentral:rRNA from 1 species
CUACGGGGGGCUGCAGUGGGGAAUAUUGCGCAAUGGAGGAAACUCUGACGCAGCCAUGCCGCGUGAGUGAAGAAGGCCUUAGGGUUGUAAAGCUCUUUCAGACGUGAUGAUGAUGACAGUAACGUCAAAAGAAGUUCCGGCUAACUUCGUGCCAGCAGCCGCGGUAAUACGAAGGGAACUAGCGUUGUUCGGAUUUACUGGGCGUAAAGAGCAUGUAGGCGGAUUGGUCAGUUGGGGGUGAAAGCCCGGAGCUCAACUCCGGAACUGCCUUCAAUACUGCCAGUCUAGAGUCCGUAAGGGGGUGGUGGAAUUCCGAGUGUAGAGGUGAAAUUCGUAGAUAUUCGGAGGAACACCAGUGGCGAAGGCGACCACCUGGUACGGUACUGACGCUGAGAUGCGAAAGCGUGGGGAGCAAACAGGAUUAGAUACCCCGGUAGUC